GUUUUGAACAUGGGACUAUAACUUAAGGACCUCAUGUCCUUAACUUUUGAACUUGUAUUUUAAACUUAAGGACUCCUGUAGUUAAUGACAAACAGUCCUCAAGUUUUUAACAUGGGACUAUAACUUAAGGACCUCAUGUCUUUAACAUUUGAACUUAAAAUUCAAAGUUAAGGACAGAUAGUCCUCAAGUUUUUAACAUGGGACUAUAACUUAAGGACCUCAUGUCCUUAACGUUUGAACUUAAAAUUUAAAGUUAAGGACAGACAGUCCUUAAGUUUUUAACAUGGGACUAUAACUUAAGGACCUCAUGUCCUUAACUUUUGAACUUGUAUUUCAAAGUUAAGGACAACAUGUCCUUAACUUUAUAACUUGUAAAUGUAAGUUAAGGACUGACUGUCCUAAACUUCGGGUAUUUUAACCUUGUUUUAUAUUGUAUUUUCAGGUUUCUUUAUAU
rnacentral:lncRNA from 1 species